UCUCAUCUUAUUUAAUAGUCAUCUCAUCAACCUUUGUGAGGAACACUGAGAUCUCUUAGAUCUGAGAGGUUUUCUUCACCAUGGCGGCUCUCCUUCUUGCCGAGAUUUAUUUUACGACCACCCCCUUCUCUUUUCAUCACGGGGAUGUCGGCGAUUAGCUUAACAUGGAAGAAAGCAAAUUGAACUUUCUAGCAGAGCAGGGGCGCUAAUUCUAGCAUCAGGAUCUCCGAUUUCUGUUGCUCGAUGCAGAUCUAACCCUUCAUUUCUUCAAGAGGAUCUUUGAGGUGCUAUUUGUUCACAAAUACAGCGGGGGAUGAUUCUUGAUUCUGCAAUCCUUAUCUCUCUUGGUUACUUUGUGUCCACUGCAAGCAUGAUCUACACCUAACACGCCUGGGAUUUCAGAGCCACCAGUUGAUUUGAAGCAUUCUGGAAUUUUGUUGUUUCUUUGAGGAAUCAGCGGCAACUUGUACCACCAUUACCUCCUAUCCAAACUGAGGGGAGAGGGUGACACAGAAAAUAGGAUUCCCAAGGGUGGUUUAUUUGAGCGGGUGAUAUGCCCACACUAUCUUUACGAAUUAUAGGUUUCUUAGAGAUCUCAUUUAUUUCUCAUCCUCCCAAACUUGAUAUAUGGACAUUCCCCAAGAAUGCAAUCAGGAUGAGCAGGAAAACUGAGAUUUGCACAAUAGUAAACCAAUGGUUUGGAUCUCUUUCUUCUUCACAAAUAUCACAAUAAUAUUCAUCAUCAAAAUCAUUUUAAACUUUAUAACAAAGUAUGAACGGUUGUUCAUAUGGUCUGUAUCUUAUGGUACACGGUAGUGUAGUGCAUUUGAAAUCCAGAGUAGGUUAAAGAUAUCAGAACUACCGCAUGUACCAUAAGAUAUAGACCAUAUGAACAACAGUUCAGGCUUUGUUAUAAAGUUGAAGAUGAUUCUAAUGAUGAAUAUUAUUGUGAUAUUUGUGAAGAAGAAAGACAUCCAAAUCAUUGGUUUUACUAUUGUGCAAAUCUCAGUUUUCCUGCUCAUCCGGAUUGCAUUCUUGGGGAAUGUCCACAUAGCAAGUUAAGGAGGAUUUAUUCUCUGGGCACUACAUAUAGAUUUUUGUUGUAAAUUUUAAAUUGUUUCCUAUGAUUAGUAUUCUUCGUUAAGUGGUAAAAAUUAUGUAACUGUUAGUGAUCUUCAUAUAAUUUCACUCACCUUUGUAUUAUAAAUUUUAUGAACCCAUAAAAGUUGUUGCAUGCAUAAA